UGUAAUUAUGUCGCCACAGUGAAUUAGGAAUUUUAAAGGUCUUCCUCUUUAUUUUCUAUUCUCAAAUUGAAUCCCAAUCAAUCGCCCCGGUGUCGUCGUGUCAAACCCAAGACUGAUCGGUGAAGUUCGUCGGAGUUCAAAAUCAUGAACCAUAUGUCGGCUGUUUCUAAUCUUGUCUUUGGUUUUGUUGCGUUAGGGUUUGCUAAUUCGCCACGGUCCGUGAAGCAAUUAAGAGGUCCAGACAUCCCAAACAGUCUCUUUUGAAUAAUCGAAAGUGCAACUCAAGUGAGGAUGUAAGAUUAUCAUCAAUCAAACCUUUCAUUUAUCAUCCUUUUCUUUUGUUUUAAACAUAUUGUUAAAGUAUAUAUCUGUCUUACUUGGUUGAUUUAGGGUUUUGUUUUUCCCCAAAACACUUUCUUUUGCAAUCAGAGAGUUAAAAAUUUGGAUGAAAUAGUUAUACAUAUAUAGCCUGUGGUGUACGUAUUAUGUUUAUUAUAAUAAACUAACACUGAAAUUAUUAUCAAGUAGAAACAAAUCAAAGCUUAUAAUAAGAAAUGAAAUAGAUGGAUGUUUCAGUCUUUUGAACUUCCCAUUGAUUGCAAAAUGAAUCUGACCAGGAGUUUCAUUGUAUGUAUGCUAUUAUUCUUGUUUAGCUAGACAAGUCGUGUGCUUGCCUACAUGAGUCCUCCAUCACCACGUCUCCGAAGAUAUAUUAAUAUCUUGCGUGAGCAGAAUGUAAGAACACUCUUAUUCACGUUAUAACUACAUAAUACAUCUCCCCUAGGACAGAAAUGUAAUUUCCAACUAAAAUUUUAAGACGGUAGGUGAAAAGGCACAAUCUAAUUUUCCUCUCUCCUCCAUUUUCUUCCAUCUCUACCCUCACCCUCAUACCUGACUCCCCCAAGAAUUUUCACUUACCCAUGACCUCUUUCAGAAAUAUAACGGAUAUCAUUAAUCAUGUUUAUCAUGGCUAGCCUUUCACAUUUAAUCUCAUAAUCAGUCUACACUUGAAACCGAUGUCCAUUGAAUCAGUGUAUUAUUAAUCGCGAUCUUCACAUUUAAUUUGGUGAAUCAAACAGUCCAAUGAAAUCAGCCAUCCCUUUUUAAGCCCUCUCCUCCCCCAAAUAAAUCAACGGCGACAACGAAGGCCGCACCCAGUGUUUUUCUCCACAACUUCAGCAGGUGGUGGCGUCGUCGGAGGAGUGAGCGACGGUUGUAAUGGAGUCGGUGGUCUCAGAUGUUGGCGAGACAGGGAUUUAGGUCUGAAUUGCAGUGACGGUUGCAAAGGUGCUGAGAUGCCGACGGCUAAGGUUGCUGUCGAGUGUAGAUGGUGGUUAUGCUUCGAACCCUAAAUCUUCUCUCUUUAUCACACAUCUCAACCAGAUUUUGAGGUAAGUUUUUGAGGUUUUUUUAUUGUAAGUUGUUUGUUUUUUCUUUAUUUUCCAUUAAGUUGUCUUAUCGCCUGUUUUAUUCAAUACUCGAUAAAUCUUGUUGAUUCGCCUCGGAGGCCAUCGAUUUGUAGGCAUAAUUCUCUUAUCAUGAUUCAACCUUAAACGUUGGUUUGAUUUUGAAUGGUCACAAAUGAAAUUUUAGGUUUCUGGUGGUUUGCGUUGUUGAAUUUGAGUUUUAUAUAUUAUUUUGCUGAUUUGUUCUUUUGUCAUGAUAAUUAUAAUAGAUUUGUUGUGGCGAGGGUUGUUGAUUCAUCGUUUCAUCCGAGCAGAACGAAAGGAAAGCUUUUGGUAGAUUGUUAUUUUGUUAUUUAUUAAUAGAUUUAGAUAAAAUAUUACAUUUGGGUGAAUUUUCGGAUAUUUAGAAAGCUUCAUAUGAACAAAAGUUUUUGACUUGUUUGAUCCGUAGGUGUGAGGUCCUGUCUCUCUCAUUACUAUUUUGUAUGGGAAGAUAAAAGCUUAUAUACGAAUUCAACUCUGUAUAGUGUAUAGUGUACUUGUGGGUACACCUAUGGGUACCAGACAAUCAAUCUUGACUCACAUUUACAUAUAUGGUCAUUUGGAUUUUAGCAAAAUAUUGUAGGCUGUAAUGGGCUAAGUAUUGUUUUCAAUUUGUCUCAUUGGCAAAAAUGAAAAUUCUUAAUACCGUAAACUGUAGAGGGUUCUUUGUUCUCUCUGAUUGUCGGCGAUCUCUCAACACCUGCACCCCAGACUGGUACGUUAAACUCUCUAAAAAAACAGUUCCAACUUUGAUCAUAUAUUUAGACCCGAGGACAACCAAGGUAAUUGUAGCAUAAAUAUGGUGAUAAUUUCGUUCUCGGUUAUAUAUUUUGAUUCUGUUAGUGUUGUUAUAAUAUGAACACUUGAUUUUACUGUGUUUGCAGAGGCUGAUUUUGCAGUGUCAGUGCUUGAUGGAUACAAUAUGUGUAUCUUUGCAUAUGGGCAAACUGGAACAGGAAAGGCGUUUACAAUGGAAGGAACUGCUGAAAACUGGGGAGUUAACUACCGCACUUUGAAAGAGUUAUUCAGGGUAUCUAAGGAAAGGAGUGAUAUUAUGAAAUACCAACUAUUUGUAAGCAUGUUGGAGGUCUACAAUGAGAAGAUAAAAGACCUCUUAGUUGAAGAUACUGACCAUCCUGCUAAAAAGUUGGAGAUAAAGCAAUCGGCCGAAGGAACCCAAGAAGUCCGGGGGCCAUCUCAGGUGCGCGUGCACAAGACCGAUGAAGUUUGGGAACUGCUUAAGAGCGGGAGUUGUGUACGUUCGGUUGGAUCAACCAAUGCUAAUGAGCUAAGUAGCCGUUCUCACUGGCAAAAUCUCAUAACCUUAUCAAAAAGCUUUUUAGUUCUUAAAUCAUAUUGCUUACUGAAAUCAUGUCAUUUCUUUACCUUGUCAUAGACACCAGUCAGAUUCAACAACUCAAGCAUGUCUACAAUUGCAAAACAAAAGGUUAAGUUUUAACUUAUUUCAUAUUUGGUUUGUGCUCAGUACAUGGCUGCACUCAUUUCAACAUAACCUUCAUUUUUAUAACUAUCUUCCUCCAUCUCUCCUUCCCUUAUCAGUCCAGCCUCUCACCUUGUGUUUUAUUCACCCUUCCAACUUUUCCAACUUUGUGUCUUUUUUUUAUUAGAAUUAAUUGCUUAAUACACCAAAUAAGAUCAAGAAAAAAAUUAUCAGACGACAGAGAAAACAUUGUUGCAAAUGGAAUCAAAAUCCGAAAAGAAGACAAAAAGAUUACUCGAAAAUAAUUCAAAUGGCAAAAUAUAUGAUAUGAUUAUACCUGCUGUUAGUGAAGAACAACAAAAAGGAAUAAGCAGUACAGUGAAGAUAAUAAUAUCACUACUAGAGAAGUGGGAGGUUUCCUACGCAAAAAAAAAGGGUCGCAAUGCACAGCAAACAGGCCUUCGCGACAAAAUUGAAUUUAAACUGCAAGAUUGGUUUCAAGUGGUCGAGGGUUCUUGUCCCAUGGUGGACAUUGGUGUAAAUUUAGAAGUAGAUUUAGAGGGUGUGUGAGGUAGGCGUUUCUAGAAACAAAAGAAAGAUAAUUUAAUACCAUUUUGAAACAUAUAGCAACCUUUUGUUUUAAAAGUUGAUGUAACGGUUACAUUUUCAGCUAUAGUCAUCACAUUUGAGUUGGAAAUUAUAGGUCAUACACAUCCACAAACACUGAUUUUUUUUAAAUGUAGUUAUAAAUAAAUGAUACAAAUCAACCUUACUUUUAUAGCUAUCAAUUUUAAACUAGAAGAUUGGUAGGAGCCCUUCAAUCAUAGAAAAGGCUCUCCAAAAAUAAGUGUAUGCCAUUUGAUGUAACGAGCACACGGUAUUCUUUAGUAAAAGGCGAAAGAAUAGUUCGCUUUGUGCUUACUACAUGGCUGCAUAUCCUUCAACCAUACCGACUGCCUUUUUUAAUACUUCCUUCAUCAAUCUCUCCUUCUGUUACCCAGCGGAUGUGGGAUUAAUUGAUAACCUUCUCACCUUAUGUUCUAUACACUGCUGGAACUCCCUAACCAAAUUAGAACAAGAAAAAUAAAUGGUCAAAUGACAAAGAAAGUGGCGCUGCAAAUGGCGAAUCAAAAGCCAAAAUGAAGAAAAAGAAACAAAUGCUAGAGAACACGUAUGUAAAACUCUGCAAGAAAAGGUUCGGGAUCUUGAAAACCAAUUAGCUGCGGAGCGGAAAACGAGACAGAAACAAGAGAAUCGAGCACUUGCGGUGACUUCUUCACACUCUUGAGGACUUCGUGUUUAGUGUUUCAUGGAAUAGAAUGUUUUGUAAUAAUUUUGUUUAGUUCAAUGGUUUGGAAACAUCAAAACGGGAUGGGAGGAAGAAAGGAUGAAACAUGAUGCUUUUUAUUUAGUUUAUAUUAAGAGCUUGAAAGGAAAGAUGAAAUGAUGGGAUUAUUUACAUGUAUGUAAGGAUUAGUUUCGGUGAUUUUAAUGGCUUUGCACGUUUCAUUAUUAAA